UACGUAGGUGGCAAGCGUUGUCCGGAUUUACUGGGCGUAAAGAGCGCGCAGGCGGUCGUUCAAGUCGCGUGUGAAAGCCCCCGGCUCAACUGGGGAGGGUCACGCGAUACUGGUCGACUCGAAGGCAGGAGAGGGUAGUGGAAUUCCAGGUGUAGCGGUGAAAUGCGUAGAUAUCUGGAGGAACACCGGUGGCGAAGGCGGCAUCCUGGACCAACACUGACACUGAUGAGCGAAAGCCAGGGGAGCAAACGGG
rnacentral:rRNA from 1 species